AGAGUUUGAUCCUGGCUCAGAUUGAACGUUGGCGGCAGGCCUAAUACAUGCAAGUCGAACGGUAACAGCGGGAGCUUGCUCCCGGCUGACGAGUGGCGGACGGGUGAGUAACGCGUAGGAAUCUGCCUGGUAGUGGGGGACAACCCGGGGAAACUCGGGCUAAUACCGCAUACGCCCUAAGGGGGAAAGCGGGGGAUCUUCGGACCUCGCGCUAUCAGAGGAGCCUGCGUCGGAUUAGCUUGUUGGUGAGGUAAUGGCUCACCAAGGCGACGAUCCGUAGCUGGUCUUAGAGGAUGACCAGCCACACUGGGACUGAGACACGGCCCAGACUCCUACGGGAGGCAGCAGUAGGGAAUCUUGGGCAAUGGGCGAAAGCCUGACCCAGCCAUGCCGCGUGUGUGAAGAAGGCUUUCGGGUUGUAAAGCACUUUCAGCAGGAAAGAAAAGUUUGAGGCCAAUACCCUUGAACCGUGACGUACCUGCAG
rnacentral:rRNA from 1 species